rnacentral:sRNA from 18 species
CAGCGCCCGUCACAUCACCGCCAAGGCAGUCAUGUCAGAGCGAAAUUUUCUAAUCUGGUCAUGCCGCUGGGUAGCGAACUGCUGCCCACCGCUAUGCGCAUCACAGAUACCACCGGGACACGCCGGCAGGUCUGGCGCAGUUUCUUUGCUGAUCGGCUCACGCCUUCGGCAGAUCGACGUAGAUAGCAUGAAAAACCG